rnacentral:snRNA from 1 species
GUGCUCACUUCAGCAGCCACAUAUACUAAAUCGGAAUGAUACAGAGAAGAUUAGCAUGGCCCUUGCACAAGGAUAACAUGCAGCAUUCCAUAUUUUU